GUGGCGUCUUAGCAACCAUACAAGUAAUCACCUGAUUUCUAAUAAUGUUGUUUCUACCAGAUUUUGGCAGUGGGAAGUAUGUGAUUCCUAACUGAUUUAUGUGAUAUGCAUAGUACUUGUACAUUUUUCUGUCAUGUAAUAUCACACGUGUAAAAAAAAUCCUUUUCUUGGUGUGCUUAGGGUACAUCCUGCUAGAGCCUUUCAUGUUUUUAUCAGGCUAAGUCAAUAUGGAACUCCAUGGUGGAUUUGUUAAUGUCAAAGUGAACAGUAUUGG
rnacentral:misc_RNA from 1 species